AGACAAAAGAAGAAAUUCCAGCACCAAGUAUUCUGGAGAAGAAGAUUUCUCAGACAACACUCAGUUGUUGGACCAGGUUGACUGCUUCAGUGGACCUGAGGGUCCUUUUCCUGUUCUCAUCCAUCUAGAUACAAACUCAAUUCCUAUAUCUCCAGGGAAAACCAGUGGGAGAAGUAAAGACAAUGUGGAACACAAGCCAAAUUCUGAUGAUAUCAAAAAAUCUCUGGUGGUGACAUAAAUCAAAAAGGGAUUUCUGUGUGAUGCCUCCAAGACAGAACCCUGCCCAUGUGAAAACUACACAAAACAACAACAGCAAAGAGUCUCUGUUUAGGACUAUGGAUUACAUGGAUUAAACUCCAUUUAAUCAGCAUAGUCAUAUACCUACUACAUCCAAAAUAUCAGCUGUAGCAACUGAAAGGAUUUCCAGUUUUUUCCCAAAAAUAUUUAAAAACAAAGCUCUUAGAGUGAAAUAGAAAAGGAAGCAUCCUGUAAGGAUCCUCAGCAUUCUCUGUUACAACUAACUAGCCAAUGAAUAAUUUACAGCUAAGAGUGUUUUGAGGGGAUAAAAUUGUUGAUAAGUCAGGGAAAAAAACCUCUUAGCAGUAAAGCUGAGCAAUCCAUCUUCAAGAAACAGGUUUCAAAUAUACAGUUUAUGAAUACAUUGAAGGUUUUUUUAUCUAUAUGGAAAUUGGUCAAUUGUAAUAUAUGUUACAUUUCAGUAUGAACUUGGGUCUGAAUGAUAUCAGAGUCAGGAAUUAAAGCAUCAUUUCAAAAGGCUAGAAAGGACACAAAAAAAUAAGAACAACAAAAUGACACUUCCUAUCCAAGGCUGAGCAGAAAUAUGCUCUGUAUUUAAAAUGCUGAGUGUAAUGCAUUAGUAUUCUAGGAAUGAUGCCAUUUGAACAGAACCAUAUUCAAUCUUGUACGAGCAUAAUGGCCGACUUGAUCUGAGAGCAGUUUCCUCAGGGAAUCCUGAACCAAAAGCCAUGAAGCCCCAUUGCUCAGACCUCUGAUUUACUGAAUCUCAGUCAUUCUCUCUUAUAAUCAGAGUAGUCCACACUUAGGCAUUACAUUAUAGUAACAAAAAGCUUUCCUCACACCAAUCCUGUAAGUUUCAUUGUGCAGGUUUUGAUUUUGGCUCUAAAUCAAAACUGAGACAGAGAGGAGAGAGAAGUGACUUUCCUGUGGUCACCUUGCUAAUAAGGGGAAAAACCGAAAGUCAAAAUUGUUCCUCUGACAAUAUGAUGAAUAUUACACCACCCUGACUUUCAAUAGUGGAUUGUGUUUGAUAAAUAUGAUGCUACUGACCCAUCAUUAGCAGAGUUUUUUUAAUUAAUAGAUCACAUUUUUUCCAGUGUAACAGAGCGAUAGAGAAGGGUGGACAUUCUUUGUACAAUCUACCAGGAAAGGCAAAUGUGGGGGGUGAGGGGUGAAUGGAGAAGAAUCAAAUAUCUCAUAUGUUCAUGAGAGCCUGUAUAUCCACAAACUGUCCACCAGUUUCUCUGGUAAUGAAGGAAUGGAUUUAUAAAACGGUAGAACUAUAGGCUUUGUCACUGGAGCAGAUGACUCAAUCAAUCAAGCAAUCAACCCACAAAUAUGUAUACAUAUCUACAAUAAAUCCAACACUGUUAUAUACUGUAGAUACAAACUAAAAAUAAAAUAAUUCUUACCCUCAA